CACUGCAGAGACGAAGGAUGUGGAUAAGGCACAGGCACACAUGCAUACGCCUACCUGGGCACAGGUAGCUCGGCCUCCGCAGAUUCCUAUGCGCGUUACUUGUUGCAAACAAACGCUGAGGGCUGCGGAGGGGGAACAGCACCACAGACUGAACCGGCUGCCCCUGCCCCAUGCUGGGCACCACCGGCCACAUUUAGCAGCGUCAUGAUCAUCAGGGCCCAGGCACUGGGCACUAGGCACAAGGGACUUAUGGCCAAAGCCAGCCGGACCGGACUGGAAAGGAAUUGGGCCCGAGAUUGGUUUGGCUCUAAAGAAGAAAGAUGCAACAUCGGCAAGCUUCAGGGCUGCAGCAUCAGGGUAUAGGACGGGGAUUUAACAUAAAUUUGGGAUAUCUGUUUUACUACGUAAUUGAUUUGGCUGUAAAAAUAAAAAAUAUUUACUUCAUCAAAAAAUGUAAA